GUGAAUGUUUGCUUUUUUGUUUCUGUCAAUAUUUAAGUAUGUCUCAUUUAUGAAGGGUUGAUUCUAAGAUGUUUAUACACUCAUUCCACAUAUUGUAUUUAUUGAUAUUCCAACAAAAAAGUUGAUACAAUCGAUAUAAUGUACUUUUACAUUUUACAUCUGAGUUACAUUGUGUUCAAUAAAUGCAGCCAUCUGUUAAUAUAUCUGUUUGUGAUCAACAAAUAAAGGUAUGUAUAAGUUCUGAUUUUUACAAACGAGAGCCUAUUUAUUUUAAAUGACUGUAACAAUGGGGUUUGAAACCUUACAUCACAACUCACCUUACAUCACAACUUAAUAUUAUUGACUGGAACGAUCUAGCCAGUCACAUUGUAACCCUGACUAUGUGAUACAGAAGUAGACAUUCUCUACCUCUAAUCAGCUACCAUUCAUUGUUCCAUUUUCAAUUUCUAGACUGCGUAAAGUUUGUAAUCAACUUUAGUGGGCCACCUUUGAUGAUACACGCUGGAUUUUUCAUACAGAGAAAUGUUAAUGAAGACAACCUAGUUGACUACAGAUAUUUAGGGACAUGGGACCUUACAGUUUGUUAUUUAGUUCACUUAAGCUUGGUUCUAAUGUAAUAGGUUCUAUAAUAUUAUAACCAGUUCCCAGC